rnacentral:rRNA from 1 species
UUUGGAGGGCAAGUCUGGUGCCAGCAGCCGCGGUAAUUCCAGCUCCAAUAGCGUAUAUUAAAGUUGUUGCAGUUAAAAAGCUCGUAGUUGAAUUUCGGGAUCAGCAGGUUGGUCGUGCCUCUGGUAUGUACUGGCCUUGCUGAUUCCUCCUUCUUGAAGAACCGUAAUGCCAUUAAUUUGGUGUUGCGGGGAAACAGGACUGUUACUUUGAAAAAAUUAGAGUGUUUAAAGCAGGC